rnacentral:lncRNA from 1 species
GAACCAGAGAUAGCUAAAAUAAGUUAGCUUCAACAAAUGUGCAAGUCCAAGUAUUGGUGAUGCAAGCAAUACGUGGGUUGCCAUUGUAAGUCAAAUGAGUUAAGAAGAUAAAAAAGGAGAUUAGCUAGCUAGAACGCAGCCAAAUUUAUAAGGCUAGCUAGAGAGGGAGAUUGAAAGGGCUGGCUAGAGAGGAAGGCAAAUCUAUGAUAUUAGUUAGGUUAGUGGAGACGGUGGAGAUUGUCACAGAUUGAGAUUUUUUUUUUGUGAUAAAGGGUCAUAGAUUGAGAUUUGAGAGAACGAGAGGAACAACGAGCUACUUCAGCAACUGAUCCACAUCUGUUUUAUUGUAUUUUUCGUCAGUCAUAUGCCCCAAAGUGACUGUUGCGCCAACGAUCAGGGAUCAAGCACCGUAUUAGCACAACAGCGUUUAAUCAGUGGCUGCAGAGCUCCUCGUCAAGCUUGUGACUGUCUGGCGGAUACGCUUUCGUCCAACGUUCGCAACCAACAAAAAGACCGAACAGGAGAUACACCAUUCAGAAAGCCAUCUGAGAGAUAAACCAAAACUGCUGAACACAAACUGUCAAUAAACAGUGAACCUAAACACCACGAGAAUACAACCACGACAGGGUGAAAAUUCUCAGUUCUUUGAAGCUAGAGUUGAUUCACUUUCAGAAAAUAGGUGUUCAUCAGGUCUGCAACACGACAUAACAUACUUGUGGACUAACAAAACCCAGAGUAAAGGAUAAGAUAAGCCGCCCUUCGAGCAAGAAGAUGCAUCUAAGCUGCAGCACCCUUGCCCUUCUUCUUCUGGAGCUUCUUCAUGUAGAACUCGAGCUCUUUACCCUCAAGGAUGUACCUGUCAUACAAAGGAAAAUACCAUUAUAAGCAGCUAAUUACUGGUGAAGUACACAUUCAUAGCUUUGUUUUAAAAACUAGGUUGAGCCCAAGAAAUUAUUUAAAUAAUGACUGCAUGCAAACUAACUGAUGGGAAUCUAUCGUAUGAAUUCCACAAAACUCCAUCAGUAUUGACCAUAAAAACACAAGCACACCAAUCUAAUUCACUUCAGAAUCCAGGAGCUAAGAAGGAAAACCGAAACAUAACUUCAGCAUUCCUUACCCAUCAGCUCGGCCACACUGCCCAGGGCGAGAAGCAAUGCAUGCCAACAACCUUCCACUGCCAAAUUGCUCCUCAAUGUGUGGGUCAAGGUUGCGCCCCACCUUGCGCUUCUCAAGCUUCCUUGUGACAUGGUUACUCUUCUUUGUUUCCUCAGCUGCAGCCUCACCCUCUUGACCCUGCACAUAUAAACAUCAAACAGUAAACAAUCCAUUAAAGGGAACCAUGAGAUCAAUACUAAAGAAAAGGAAAAGAAAACCAAUUACUAUUACUUUGGUUAACUGCAAGACUCAAAUAAAUAAAUUGAGACAGUCCAAUUUCCAAGGAAAGAUGAAUAAUUUAAUCAUCCCAUGAAAUCCAAAACAAGAUACAGAUGCAUAAACAAUUAAUCAGUACAAAAGGUUGACAAAAAGCAAUCUACCAGCUCUAAACACAGGGCUAGUUAGAAGUGCGCAGUAAGUCACCCAUGAACAGUAGUAAGAUCUCUCAGCAGAUUAAAACAAUGAUAAUUUAUUAUUUCAUGGGGUUGCAAAGGAUGGUACCUCAGCAGCAUCCUUCUUGGCAGCAGGGGCCUUCUUCUUCCUACCAAUGUCCACUCCAUAGUGAGUGAGGUACCACUGCUUGAAUGGGGCAGCAUCAACUUGCACAAUAGCACUCUUCACAAGGGUCUGGGUGCGAACAAGCUCAUUGUUUGACGCAUUGUAGACAACAUCCAGGAUACGGGUCUUGCGGGUAACAGCCUCACUUCCCCAUGAGUAGUUACCAGUAUCCAGGCGGAGAGCCCUCCACUUCACAUUUCCUCCACGGACACGU